rnacentral:rRNA from 1 species
AUUGAACGCUGGCGGCAGGCCUAACAAAUGCAAGUCGAGCGGAGCGGCGGACGGGUGAGUAAUGCCUAGGAAUCUGCCUGGUAGGGGGGGAUUACGUCCGGAAACGGGCGCUAAUACCGCAUACUAUCAGAUGAGCCUAGGUCGGAUUAGCUAGUUGGUGGGGCAAAGGCCUACCAAGGCGAAGAUCCGUAACUGGUCUGAGAGGAAGAUCAGUAACACUGGAACUGAGACACGGUCCCGACUCCUACGGGAGGCAGCAGUGGGGAAGAUUGGGACAUGGGCUAAAGCCUGAUCCAACCAAACCGCGUGUGUGAAUAAGGUCUUCGGAUUGUAAAGCACUUUAAGUUGGGAGGCGUUACCAACAGAAUAAGCACCGGCUAACAUCGUGCCAGCAGCCGCGGUAAUAC